rnacentral:rRNA from 1 species
UACGUAGGGGGCAAGCGUUAUCCGGAAUUACUGGGCGUAAAGAGUACGUAGGUGGCCUUGUAAGCGCAGGGUUUAAGGCGACGGCCCAACCGUCGUUCGCCCUGUGAACUGCAGAGCUUGAGUGCUGGAGGGGAAGGCGGAAUUCCUAGUGUAGCGGUGAAAUGCGUAGAUAUUAGGAGGAACACCAGUGGCGAAGGCGGCCUUCUGGACAGUAACUGACACUGAGGUACGAAAGCGUGGGUAGCAAACA